GACGAACGCUGGCGGCGUGCUUAACACAUGCAAGUCGAACGGAAAGGCCCUGCUUUUGUGGGUUGCUCGAGUGGCGAACGUGUGAGUAACACGUGAGUAACCUGCCCUUGACUUUGGGAUAACUUCAGGAAACUGGGGCUAAUACCGGAUAGGAGCUCCUGCUGCAUGGUGGGGGUUGGAAAGUUUCGGCGGUUGGGGAUGGACUCGCGGCUUAUCAGCUUGUUGGUGGGGUUGUGGCUUACCAAGGCUUUGACGGGUAGCCGGCCUGAGAGGGUUACCGGCCACAUUGGGACUGAGAUACGGCCCAGACUCCUACGGGAGGCAGCGGUGGGGAAUAGUGCACAAUGGGAGGAAGCCUGAUGCAGCAACGCCGCGUGCGGGAUGACGGCCUUCGGGUUGUAAACCGCUUUCGCCUGUGACGAAGCGUGAGUGACGGUAAUGGGUAAAGAAGCACCGGCUAACUACGUG
rnacentral:rRNA from 1 species